CGCCCCAUCUUACUAACGGUUCAGGUGGCCACAUUCUCAGUGUGGAGAUACGGGUUCGAAUCCCGUUGGGGUGA
rnacentral:tRNA from 1 species